UACGUAGGCAGCAAGCGUUGUUCGGAGUUACUGGGCGUAAAGGGCGCGUAGGCGGCCUGUUAAGUCGAACGUGAAAUCCCCGGGCUCAACCCGGGAACUGCGUCCGAUACUGGCAGGCUUGAAUUCGGGAGAGGGAUGUGGAAUUCCAGGUGUAGCGGUGAAAUGCGUAGAUAUCUGGAGGAACACCGGUGGCGAAGGCGGCAUCCUGGACCGAUAUUGACGCUGAUGCGCGAAAGCCAGGGGAGCAAACGGG
rnacentral:rRNA from 1 species